UACGUAGGGCGCAAGCGUUGUCCGGAAUUAUUGGGCGUAAAGAGCUCGUAGGCGGCUCUGUAAGUCGGGUGUGAAACCUCCAGGCUCAACCUGGAGACGCCACCCGAUACUGCUGUGGCUUGAGUCCGGUAGAGGAGCGUAGAAUUCCUGGUGUAGCGGUGAAAUGCGCAGAUAUCAGGAGGAAUACCAGCGGCGAAGGCGGCGCUCUGGGCCGGAACUGACGCUGAGGAGCGAAAGCGUGGGUAGCAAACAGG
rnacentral:rRNA from 1 species